AGACAGCAGUAGCCGCGGUAGUACGGAGGGUGCAAGCGUUAAUCGGAAUUACUGGGCGUAAAGCGUGCGUAGGUGGUGGUUUAAGUCCGUUGUGAAAGCCCUGGGCUCAACCUGGGAAUUGCAGUGGAUACUGGGUCACUAGAGUGUGGUAGAGGAUAGUGGAAUUUCCGGUGUAGCAGUGAAAUGCGUAGAGAUCGGAAGGAACAUCUGUGGCGAAGGCGACUAUCUGGGCCAACACUGACACUGAGGCACGAAAGCGUGGGGAGCAAACAGGAUUAGAUACCCGGUAGUCCCUGUCUCUUAUACA
rnacentral:rRNA from 1 species